rnacentral:rRNA from 1 species
AUGAAUCGUGAAAUUAUCUCUCUCCUUUCGACUUUGGGAAUGAGAAAUGAGAUAUUUGAGUUGAUGCAACAAGAUGACAUGCAUGAAUUAGCUGAAAAUAUUGACAAACAAAGAAGUUGCUCUCUAUGUUAUGGGGAAAAUUGUAGUGACAAAACGAAGAUAGCAUCCAAAAGGUUACUGCAAGGCUAUGAACCAAGUUUAGAGCCUUACCUGUUGAUUAUUCUUAAGGCCUAUCAAGAUAAUGUUUGA